rnacentral:rRNA from 1 species
UCCCAGUUCGGAUUGUAGUCUGCAACCCGACUACAUGAAGCUGGAAUCGCUAGUAAUCGCGAAUCAGAAUGUCGCGGUGAAUACGUUCCCGGGUCUUGUACACACCGCCCGUCACACCAUGGGAGUCGGAAAUGCCCGAAGUCAGUGACCCAACCGUAAGGAGGGAGCUGCCGAAGGUGGAGCCGGUAACUGGGGUGAAGUCGUAACAAGGUAAC